UGGUUAUGUUUAAGGUUACGGUGAGGGUUAGUGCCUGUAAGGCGACGUUGGAGGCUUAAAUCACCAUCGAUCCCACUGUGCACACAGUGUCUGUCUCCGUCAAGGAGAGAAGACGGCUGGCGAAAUUCACGAGUUCACGAAAGCUCUCCCCGGAUGUGCAGUUUCCUCUCUCAUCUUUUAAUCUCCUCAUCAGGUUUCUCCGAUCGCCAACAGGAAGCUGCUAGUUCAAGUGACCUUGUCACUGAAAGGAGCACCCUGGAGAUGCUUCUCUUUCCCUCUGGGCUACGGCCACUUCAUCCUCUCUGGCCUUCAGACCUGGAGCCCACGAGAACACGAUCCUAAAUCUCACUGUUCUUCACUCGUCUCAGCUUGUGUUUUCUGCUGGCCUGGAAACACAUGAUAGCAAACAUGGGUUGUUAUUGGUCUCUUCUAACUAAAUAUUUGAUGCUAAAAACCCUGAUUAAUUGAACCCAAGCUUCCCCUGAAUAAAGAUGUGCAGUACCUUCGAGGUGACGCAGAGGGCAGUGAUGAGUGACAUCAUACCCAGCAGGAGGACAACAAGUCUGAUGAUCAACUCGGAUAGAGAAGCUGAAACAGAUUUAAAAUCAUCACUGUCUGAUCAUUUUAAUCAAAGUUACCUGCAGGAGUGAGAUGGAGCGGCCGGCUCUCAGAAGAGAAGUUAUGGGAGAAAACGUAGAGGUGAUAAACACAGCGGUACUCCC